rnacentral:rRNA from 1 species
AUUGAACGCUGGCGGCGUGCCUAACACAUGCAAGUCGGACGAGUGGCGGACGGGUGAGUAACGAAUCGGACCGUACCGAGUAGUGGGGGAUAACUGUCCGAAACGACAGCUACUACCGCAUAUUAUUGGAGAGGCCGAUGUCUGAUUAGCUGGUUGGCGGGGUAAAGGCCCACCAAGGCGACGAUCAGUAGCGGGUCUGAGAGGAUGAUCAGCCACACUGGAACUGAGACACGGCCCAUACUCCUACGGGAGGCAGCAGUGGGGAAUUUUGGACAAUGGGCGCAAGCCUGAUCCAGCCAUGCCGCGUGUCUGAAGAAGGCCUUCGGGUUGUAAAGUACUUUUGUCAGGGAGGCGGUACCUGCAGAAUAAGCACCGGCUAACUACGUGCCAGCAGCCGCGGUAAUUC